GUCUCUGCAGCUCAGUUGGUAGAGUAUGAGACUCUUAAUCUCAAGGUCAUGGAUUCAAGCCCCAUAUUGGACA